GCGGUGGAUGAUGUGGUUUAAUUCGAUGCAACGCGAAAACCUUACCUACCCUUGACAUGUCAAGAAUUUGCAGAGAUGUGAAAGUGCUCGAAAGAGAACUUGAACACAGGUGCUGCAUGGCCGUCGUCAGCUCGUGUCGUGAGAUGUUGGGUUAAGUCCCGCAACGAGCGCAACCCUUGUCAUUAGUUGCUACCGCAAGGAGCACUCUAAUGAGACUGCCGGUGACAAACCGGAGGAAGGUGGGGAUGACGUCAGGUCCUCAUGGCCCUUAUGGGUAGGGCUACACACGUCAUACAAUGGCCGGUACAGAGGGCUGCCAACCCGCGAGGGGGAGCCAAUCCCAGAAAACCGGUCGUAGUCCGGAUCGUAGUCUGCAACUCGACUGCGUGAAGUCGGAAUCGCUAGUAAUCGCGGAUCAGCUUGCCGCGGUGAAUACGUUCCCGGGUCUU
rnacentral:rRNA from 1 species